GGGGAGUUGGACCAGUGGGUAGAGCAUCUGCCUUGCAUGCAUGAGGCUCUGGGUUCAAUCCCUGGCAUCCCA
rnacentral:tRNA from 1 species